AUUGGGAAACAAGGGCAUGAAAUUGUGGCAUGCUUAAAAUGUAGACUCCUACGCCUCGCGAAGCUUGGGAAGCUUCCUUUUUGGAUCUCCUCGCUUCCACGUUUGUCGCUGAUCCAUCCAACAUUACCCCAAACCUUUAAUUUCCAUUCACUUCUUAUAUACAACUUUCUAAUCUCACACUUUAUCUUUUCUCUUUAUUAAUAUCUUAGUAAGCCCUUCACAACAAACAUGAACAAAAUUAAGAUACUUAAGUGAUUUUUUUCUCAUGCUUCUCAUAUGCUUCCUUUGUUGGUCUGGCUCGGAUCAUGUGACUCAUUCCAAAACUUCG